GACGAACGCUGGCGGCGUGCUUAACACAUGCAAGUCGAACGGAAAGGCCCUGCUUUUGUGGGGUGCUCGAGUGGCGAACGGGUGAGUAACACGUGAGUAACCUGCCCUUGACUUUGGGAUAACUUCAGGAAACUGGGUCUAAUACCGGAUAGGAGCUCCUGCUGCAUGGUGGGGGUUGGAAAGUUUCGGCGGUUGGGGAUGGACUCGCGGCUUAUCAGCUUGUUGGUGGGGUAGUGGCUUACCAAGGCUUUGACGGGUAGCCGGCCUGAGAGGGUGACCGGCCACAUUGGGACUGAGAUACGGCCCAGACUGCUACGGGAGGCAGCAGUGGGGAAUAUUGCACGAUGGGCGGAAGCCUGAUGCAGCAACGCCGCGUGCGGGAUGACGGCCUUCGGGUUGUAAACCGCUUUCGCCUGUGACGAAGCGUGAGUGACGGUAAUGGGUAAAGAAGCACCGGCUAACUACGUG
rnacentral:rRNA from 1 species